rnacentral:rRNA from 1 species
UACGUAGGGUGCAAGCGUUAAUCGGAAUUACUGGGCGUAAAGCGUGCGCAGGCGGUUCGCUAAGACAGAUGUGAAAUCCCCCGGGCUUAACCUGGGAACUGCAUUUGUGACUGGCGGGCUAGAGUAUGGCAGAGGGGGGUAGAAUUCCACGUGUAGCAGUGAAAUGCGUAGAGAUGUGGAGGAAUACCGAUGGCGAAGGCAAUCCCCUGGACCUGUACUGACGCUCAUGCACGAAAGCGUGGGGAGCAAACAGG